rnacentral:tRNA from 1 species
GGGGGUAUAGCUCAGGGGCAGAGCACAUGCUUAGCAUGCUUGAGGUCCUGGGUUCAGUCCCCAGACCCUCCA